rnacentral:rRNA from 1 species
CCUACGGGUGGCAGCAGUGAGGAAUAUUGGUCAAUGGUCGGAAGACUGAACCAGCCAAGCCGCGUGAGGGAGGAAGGUACUGUGUAUCGUAAACCUCUUUUGUAAGGGAACAAAGACUGGGACGCGUCCCCGUCUGAGUGUACCUGAAGAAUAAGGAUCGGCUAACUCCGUGCCAGCAGCCGCGGUAAUACGGAGGAUGCGAGCGUUAUCCGGAUUUAUUGGGUUUAAAGGGUGUGCAGGCGGUCUGUUAAGUCAGCGGUGAAAGCCCGGGGCUCAACCACGGAAUUGCCGUUGAAACUGGGAGGCUAGAGGAGGAGAGAGGUAGGCGGAAUGCGUGGGGUAGCGGGGAAAUGCAUAGAGAUCACGCAGAACCCCGAUUGCGAAGGCAGCAUGCCA